UCAGGAUGAACGCUGGCGGCGUGCUUAACACAUGCAAGUCGAACGGAGUACAUCAACCGAGACCUCGGGUCUCAUCUGUGUACUUAGUGGCGGACGGGUGAGUAACGCGUGAGCAACCAACCUUAUGCAGAGGGAUAACAAUUAGAAAUGAUUGCUAAUACCGCAUAAGACCACAGCACCGCAUGAUGCAGUGGGAAAAACUCCGGUGGCAUAAGACGGGCUCGCGUUCGAUUAGCUUGUUGGUGGGGUAACGGCUCACCAAGGCGACGAUCGAUAGCCGGACUGAGAGGUCGACCGGCCACAUUGGGACUGAGACACGGCCCAGACUCCUACGGGAGGCAGCAGUGGGGAAUAUUGCACAAUGGGGGAAACCCUGAUGCAGCGACGCCGCGUGAGUGAUGAAGUAUUUCGGUAUGUAAAGCUCUUUUAGUAGGGAAGAAGAUGACGGUACCUACAGAAACAGCCCCGGCUAACUACGUGCCAGCCGCUGC
rnacentral:rRNA from 1 species